rnacentral:rRNA from 1 species
UCCGGUGGCGAUAGCGUUGGGGAACCACCCGUUCCCAUUCCGAACACGGAAGUGAAACCUGACAGCGCCGAUGGUACUUGGGUUGCAAAACCCCGGGAGAGUAGGUCACUGCCGGAU